CAGAUCGUCGAGGUAAUAGGAUUUCUCUGUUGAAUCUUUCUUCUCUGCCUUUCAUCUUUUGGUUUCUUCUGAUUUUCUCAAGAGAGGAUCCUGAUCUGGAUAACAGGAUUGGAGCAGCUACUGCAGUCGAAGUCGGAGCCACUGGAAUUUCAUACACAUUUGCUCCUCGCAUUGCAGUAAAGUUUCUGUAUUCUGGAUCUUAUAAGUUUUCACCUUGUUUGUAGAGAUACCAGAUGGGGGUAGGUGUUAUGAGAGCUACAGCGAGGAUCACAAAGUUGUGGAAGACAUGACAUAUGUCUUACUUGGUUUACACAAGGAGAGCCUCCUUCCAACUAUAAGAAAUUAAGCAUGGCUUUCCAUUCGUUGGUGGCAGGGAUAAAGUUGCAAACAUGUGCCAAGCAUUACAUGGGAGAUGGUGGGACAAACCCGAGGAAAAAAUGAGAAUAACACGGUGACUUAUUUACAUGGUCUUCUUAGUGUUCGCAUGCCUGCUUAUGCUGAUGCAGUUUACAAAGGUGUUUCCAUAGUGAUUGUUUCAUAUUCAAGCUGGAAUGGUGAGAAGAUGCAUGCAAAUACUGAGCUAUCACAGGUAAUUUGAUUCUAAUUGUCAUGAAACUAGUCCUAAUAACUAUAAUUGUCUUGAGACAGGUUCAAAAUGCUAUUGGAUUCCUGAAAAUGAUCGGAGCAGAACACUGGAUGAGAAGGAAAAUCUAAAGGAUCUUGGGAAAAUCAUUGAUUCUCCCCGUUGAUCCCAAGCUGCCAUCUUCCGCUGCUUUGACCCGAUCCUGACAAUUGUAUCUAUCAUGCAUGGCUCAGUGUCAGAGAUCCGUUCCUUCUACCUCAAGACAAAAAGGACGUACGUAAGUACAAAAGGAUUCAUGAUUCAUUUUUAUGAGUUAGGUUCAAGGAACUUCUUGUCAGCCCAGACGCUUCAGGCGACGAUAUAUUCUCUGACAUUUAACAUCAGAAAACUAAGAGAAUGUGUGUCUGUGGUCCCGAUACUGGCCCCAACAGAUUGAGCUCGUCCCAGAAGAGAAAAAAUUGGUGGAGCUUUGGGGACAAGAGUGACCCCUUCAAUUCUGGUGUUAUUUAUGUCAAAAGGAAGGUAGGAGCUUGUUCGUAUGUUGAUGAUCCAGUUGGGUCUCAGUCAGUCAGUGCUUUCAGGAGCAAUGCAUAAGGUUUUUGGUUUAAGAACUCUGGG